rnacentral:rRNA from 1 species
UACGGAGGGUGCAAGCGUUGUCCGGAUUUAUUGGGUUUAAAGGGUGCGUAGGCGGUUCUUUAAGUCAGUGGUGAAAGCCUCCAGCUUAACUGGAGAAAUGCCAUUGAUACUGAAGAACUUGAGUACAGACGAGGUAGGCGGAAUUGACAGUGUAGCGGUGAAAUGCAUAGAUAUUGUCAAGAACACCGAUUGCGAAGGCAGCUUACUAGACUGUAACUGACGCUGAGGCACGAAAGUGCGGGGAUCAAACAGG